GACGAACGCUGGCGGCGUGCCUAAUACAUGCAAGUCGAGCGGGCCUCCGGAGGUGCUUGCACCUCCGGAAGGCCAGCGGCGGACGGGUGAGUAACACGUGGGCAACCUGCCUUUGAGGCCGGGAUAACACCGGGAAACCGGUGCUAAUACCGGAUACGUCCUCUUUCGCGCCUGCGAGAGGGGAGAAAGACGGUCUUUAAGGCCGUCGCUCAAAGAGGGGCCCGCGGCGCAUUAGCUGGUUGGUGGGGUAAGGGCCUACCAAGGCGACGAUGCGUUGCCGACCUGAGAGGGUGAUCGGCCACACUGGGACUGAGAUACGGCCCAGACUCCUGCGGGAGGCAGCAGUAGGGAAUCAUCCGCAAUGGGCGAAAGCCUGACGGUGCAACGCCGCGUGAGUGAGGAAGGUUUUCGGAUCGUAAAGCUCUGUUGUGAGGGAAGAACAGCUUCCGGAGGAAAUGCCGGAGGUUUGCCGGUACCUCACCAGAAAGCCCCGGCUAACUACGUGCCAGCCGCCGCGGUAAGAC
rnacentral:rRNA from 1 species